AUUGAACGCUGGCGGCAGGCCUAACACAUGCAAGUCGAACGAGUGGCGGACGGGUGAGUAAUGUCUGGGAAACUGCCUGAUGGCGGGGGAUAACUACUGGAAACGGUAUCUAAUACCGCAUACCAUCGGAUGUGCCCAGAUGGGAUUAGCUAGUGGGUAGGGUAAAGGCUCACCUAGGCGACGCUCCCUCGCUGGUCUGAGAGGAUGACCAGCCACACUGGAACUGAGACACGGUCCAGACUCCUAAGGGAGGCAGCAGUGGGGAAUAUUGCACAAUGGGCGCAAGCCUGAUGCAGCCAUGCCGCGUGUAUGAAGAAGGCCGUCGGGUUGUAAAGUACUUUCAGCGGGGAGGCGUUACCCGCAGAAGAAGCACCGGCUAACUCCGUGCCAGCCGCCGCGGUAAUUC
rnacentral:rRNA from 1 species